rnacentral:lncRNA from 1 species
UCCCAACAUUACUAAUACGGCCUAUUCAGUAUUAUCUUAUGCGCUCUACCAAACCAUCCUAAAUGUCCUCAAAUAGAGGUCCUUGUUUCUUGCCACUCGGCCUAUAUGAGCUUGCCAUCUUCUGUGUUGAUGACGUCUGCUAAAGCGGAACCGGAAGAGGAAGAUUUUUUAUUUCUGUAAAAAAAAAUAAAAAAAAUUCAUACUAAAAUUGCCAACUU